rnacentral:rRNA from 1 species
UACGAAGGGGGCUAGCGUUGUUCGGAAUGACUGGGCGUAAAGGGCGCGUAGGCGGUUCGUACAGUCAGACGUGAAAUUCCCGGGCUCAACCUGGGGGCUGCGUUUGAUACGUGCGGGCUUGAGUUCGGAAGAGGGUCGUGGAAUUCCCAGUGUAGAGGUGAAAUUCGUAGAUAUUGGGAAGAACACCGGUGGCGAAGGCGGCUCACUGGCCCGGUACUGACGCUGAGGUGCGAAAGCGUGGGGAGCAAACAGG